rnacentral:rRNA from 1 species
AACGAACGCUGGCGGCGUGUCUUAAGCAUGCAAGUCGAGCGGCAAGCGCAGCAAUGCGCCUAGAGCGGCGGACUGGUGAGUAACACGUGGGUGAUCUACCUCGGGGUUGGGGAUAGCCAUUAGAAAUAGUGGGUAAUACCGAAUACGCUGCCAUGGCUACGGCCAUGGCAGGAAAGGCGCUACGGCGCCGGCCUGAGAUGAGCCCGCGUCCCAUUAGCUAGUUGGUGAGGUAACGGCCCACCAAGGCGAUGAUGGGUAGGCGGCCUGAGAGGGUGUACGCCCACAUUGGGACUGAGAUACGGCCCAAACUCCUACGGGAGGCAG